rnacentral:misc_RNA from 1 species
CGGCCGAUCGCAAUUCUCGUUGUUUAUUUCAUUGUACUAUGGGUGGAAGUCAUAACAUAGGGGAUGACUGGGAGUUGGCUUCCGGAUCUACAGCCAUAAGCACUUUGGUUUUGGUUGGAAAGAGUGGCACUGGUAAGAGUGCUACUGGAAACUCUAUUCUCGGUAGAAAGGCAUUCAAAUCAUAUAACCACCGAGAUGGUGUGACAACUAUUUGCGAAAUGCGAAGCACUAUUUUAAAUGAUGGCCGCAUUGUGAACGUCAUCGAUACCCCUGGACUAUUUGAUCUCCGACACGGGUCAGAAUUUGUUGGUAAAGAAAUUGUCAGGUGUAUGGAUUUGGC